GCUCCUGGACAGACACACAAAAGAACUGACUCAGAAUGUGGGUCUGUGAUUCCUCCUGUGCUGGAGGACGGCUGAUCGGUGGUUUCAGGUUUUCCUCGGCCUCAUCAGAUCAGCUUGUUCACUUUCUUGAAUCUACCAACUGACACCACGAUCAUCCGUCUGUGUGUGGAACUCAUAUCUAACAAUCUGCUUAUCUUAUCGACUUGAAAUGACCAGUGCUCUGCAGCUGAGGGGGGGGGCAGUGGGCAGUAACUGGGUCAAACCUCAGGAUCUUUCACGAUAUCGGACUGGGACACAGAUAUCCACGGGAGUCACAGGUGUAUUGGAUUGCUCCUCCUGCCCUGAGGGAUCAGAUUCCUUCAGUGACCCUCUGACACGACACAAACACACUUUAUGUUAAACAGUGAGUGUGUGUGCGACAGUGGAAGUCGCCUCUUGUGCCUUGACGGAGAAACUGGAUCACAAAAGUGGUUCCAUAUAAAAAAAUAUCUUUUAUCCAGCUCGGCUUAUACAACCAUCGGACAUAGAUAUAUAUUAAUUAUAUAAACUGUUACGGCUGAUUGUCGUCAGAAAAGAGAGAAAUAUAACUCUUCAUUUAAAACAAAUGAAAACUGAGGCACAGAGAAAAGGAGUCUAACUCUAAGAUCAGAAUCCAAAGGGUGAUGGCUUCUCUCUGGUAAAUAACCGUGAUCCCUUCCUGAAGCCUGUUGGUUCUGUACCCGUCCGCCUGUUUAUCUACAUCCUCCUGUCUGAGCCCUGCUCUUCAAAAUAAGGGCAUCCAUGACUUCUCAGAACCCACUAAACUAACUGUCUCAGCCUGUUUUCAUCAAAUAACUAAUUCAGACUGAACUGAUCAGAAACAUGAGUGAGAUGAGAACGAAAUGAAAUGAUUAAAAAUAAAUGUUGGAAGCACCA